UACAGAGGUCUCAAGCGUUGUUCGGAUUCAUUGGGCGUAAAGGGUGCGUAGGCGGCGCGGUAAGUCGGGUGUGAAAUCUUGGAGCUUAACUCCGAAACUGCAUUCGAUACUGCCGUGCUUGAGGACUGGAGAGGAGACUGGAAUUUACGGUGUAGCGGUGAAAUGCGCAGAUAUCAGGAAGAACACCCGUGGCGAAGGCGGCUCUCUGGGACGUGACUGACGCUGAGACGCGAAAGCGUGGGGAGCGAACAGG
rnacentral:rRNA from 1 species